rnacentral:misc_RNA from 1 species
UAUAAACUUUUAAAAAAACUCAGAGCAUCACCAAAAAUAUAGUGUAUAAAAUUCUUUAGUAGGGCAUAAGGCAAUAUAUAAGAAUAUAUAUUACCUUAACAAUUAGUAGACUAGGUUUAUAACUUAGCCUAGCUCCCUACCAAAGCAACAAAUAAGUUCACAAAGGUUAUGAGCAAAAUACUCAGUAAUGAUCCCUCCGCUGGUUCACCAACGGAGA